UACGUAGGGUGCGAGCGUUGUCCGGAAUUACUGGGCGUAAAGAGCUCGUAGGUGGUUUGUCGCGUUGUCCGUGAAAACUCACAACUCAAUUGUGGGCGUGCGGGCGAUACGGGCAGACUGGAGUACUGCAGGGGAGACUGGAAUUCCUGGUGUAGCGGUGGAAUGCGCAGAUAUCAGGUGGAACACCGGUGGCGAAGGCGGGUCUCUGGGCAGUAACUGACGCUGAGGAGCGAAAGCGUGGGGAGCGAACAGG
rnacentral:rRNA from 1 species